AAGCACUUCACAAAUACUAUCUGUGAAUUUCUGUAACAUCCCUCUGAAAUAGGAUUGUUUUCUCCUCUUACAGAUGUGGAAAUCUAAAAAUCAGGGAAAGCAACUGACCCAGCUCAUCUAGGCAAGAAGUUUCAGCCCCAGAAUUAAAAUCAUGAGCAAUACCUGGGCUUUAACCACUGUAGAGCACUCUUCUCUGAUAUGUCCUUUGAAAGCGUAAUAGACCUGAGAGCUGCAGACAGACUCCUCAGAAGUAGCCCAUGAGGCCCAAGGAAUCCACAGACCUGGUUUGCAGGAAGAACUCUGAAGGAUGUCACCUCAGCAGCAAGCUAUGUUGUUGUAAAUAUAUGGCCCAGACUGCUGAAACUCUAAUUGCCGGGGGCCCUCUCAGUUCCUGUCCAGUCAGCAGUCUGUGGGAAAUCCUCGUGCAGACAAACAACAGCCUGCUAGCCCAGUGCUGCUGCUCUACGAGAGUGGUGCAUUCUCUGUAUCCUGGCAAUUUGGAGGCAAACAGUCAAGACUAGUUAUUGAGUUCAUCUAGGUUGAAAAUAAAAAGGCACGUUCCAUAUCCUGAACA
rnacentral:lncRNA from 1 species